rnacentral:rRNA from 1 species
UACGGGGGGGGCAAGCGUUGUUCGGAAUUACUGGGCGUAAAGGGCUCGUAGGUGGCCAACUAAGUCAGACGUGAAAUCCCUCGGCUUAACCGGGGAACUGCGUCUGAUACUGGAUGGCUUGAGUUUGGGAGAGGGACGCGGAAUUCCAGGUGUAGCGGUGAAAUGCGUAGAUAUUCGGAAGAACACCAGUGGCGAAGGCGGCUCACUGGACCGGUAUUGACGCUGAGGUGCGAAAGCGUGGGGAGCAAACAGG